UGAGAUUGAUCCUGUCUUUUAAGUGCUAAUUUGUUUGUAGAUAAUAUUAAAUAUAAGUUUUUGCGGGAUGUUAAUUUUUGUCUUAAUGAUGAAAGGUUAAUGGAUGUUUUUAUUUGUAGUUUUUAAUUUUGAGUAACAUGUAAUUGUGUUUUCAGUUAAUUUAUUUUAGGACUGUUUAAAGUUGUGCCAGCAUACGCGGUUAUACAUCUGAUCCAAAUAAAUUUUUUUGGUUGAUUAUUAAAUUGUUAUUGAUUGAAGGUUAAUUUUUGUCUUAUUAAGUGAAAUUUUUAAGGAAGAAUAUAAUUUUUUGGUUUAAGAUUAUAAGAAAUUUAGGGUUAUAAACUAGGAUUAGAUACCCUAUUAUUCUAAAUUUAAAAUGUUUACCAUAGUACUAAUAGUUAAGAUCUUUAAAUUAAAAGGAUUUGGCGGUAAUUUAGUCUUUUCAGAGGAACCUGUUCUGUAAUCGAUGAUCCACGUUGGAUUUAACUUUAGUUUUUGUUUGUAUAUCUAUGUCAUUGAAUGUUUUAUUAGGAUAUUUUCUUUAAUUAUUAAUUUAAUUAAUGUCAGGUCAAGGUGCAGCUAUAUUAAAGGUUGAAAUGGGUUACAUUUAAUGUUUAUUUAUUGGAUUAUAUUUAUUGGAUAUAUUAAUGUUAUAUGAAAUAGGAUUUGAAAGUAAUUUUCAUUAUUUUAUGAUAAUGAUUUUAGCUCUAAAUUAUGCACACAUCGCCCGUCGUUCUCAUUAUUAAGGUGAGAUAAGUCGUAACAAAGUAAUUUUACCGGAAGGUGAAGUUGGAAUUAUA
rnacentral:ncRNA from 1 species